rnacentral:rRNA from 1 species
UACAGAGACUGCAAGCGUUGUUCGGAUUCACUGGGCGUAAAGGGUGCGCAGGCGGCCGUGUGUGUCAGGUGUGAAAGCCCGGAGCUUAACUCCGGAAUUGCGCCUGAAACUACAUGGCUAGAGCAUUGGAGAGGGUAGCGGAAUUCACGGUGUAGCAGUGAAAUGCGUAGAUAUCGUGAGGAACACCAGAGGCGAAGGCGGCUACCUGGACAAUGGCUGACGCUCAGGCACGAAAGCGUGGGGAGCAAAAGGG